rnacentral:rRNA from 1 species
CAGGGCUACACACGUGCUACAAUGGNGGUACAAAGGGUUGCUACACAGCGAUGUGAUGCUAAUCUCAAAAAGCCGACGUAGUCCGGAUCGCAGUCUGCAACUCGACUGCGUGAAGUCGGAAUCGCUAGUAAUCGCGGAUCAGAAUGCCGCGGUGAAUACGUUCCCGGGCCUUGUACACACCGCCCGUCACACCAUGGGAGUUUGUUGCACCAGAAGUAGGUAGUCUAACCGCAAGGAGGACGCUUACCACGGUGUGGCCGAUGACUGG